rnacentral:lncRNA from 1 species
CUUGUUCUUUUGGAUGAACAAGAGCCUAGAGUCUUAGAGCUCACUACUGGGAUGAUAAAAGGCUAACAAAUAUUCAAGAGUCCCUGAAAGAACAGGGGGAGUUGCCAAGACCAACCAGUGUAAGCCUAAAGGAGGAAAACUUGACUACAAUAUUAAACGAAUCACAUUCGCUGUUUUCUUUUUAACCAAAAAGACUAAUUGAGAUGGAAAAAAAAAAUCAAACUAAAAACCAG